UACGAAGGGGGCUAGCGUUGUUCGGAAUUACUGGGCGUAAAGCGCACGUAGGCGGAUAUUUAAGUCAGGGGUGAAAUCCCAGAGCUCAACUCUGGAACUGCCUUUGAUACUGAAAGUCUUGAGUAUGGGAGAGGUGAGUGGAACUGCGAGUGUAGAGGUGAAAUUCGUAGAUAUUCGCAAGAACACCAGUGGCGAAGGCGGCUCACUGGCCCAUAACUGACGCUGAGGCACGAAAGCGUGGGGAGCAACAGGG
rnacentral:rRNA from 1 species